rnacentral:rRNA from 1 species
CCCUUAGACGUUCUGGGCCGCACGCGCGCUACACUGACCAGUGCAACAAGCAUCCGUCCUUGGCCGACAGGCUCGGGCAAUCUUUGAACGCUGGUCGUGGUGGGGAUAGACUUUUGCAAUUUUUGGUCUUCAACGAGGAAUUCCUAGUAAACGCAAGUCAUCAACUUGCAUUGAUUACGUCCCUGCCCUUUGUACACACCGCCCGUCGCACCUACCGAUUGAAUGGUCCGGUGAAGCCUCCGGAUUGGCGCGCACCUCGGUGCCGCCGAGAAGUUGGCUAAACCUUACCAUUUAGAGGAAGGUGAAGUCGUANCA